GCCCCUGUGGCGGAAUUGGUAGACGCGACAGACUCAAAAUCUGUUGUCCUUAAGGGCGUGGGAGUUCGAGUCUCCCCGGGGGCACCA
rnacentral:tRNA from 1 species